AUUGAACGCUGGCGGCAGGCCUAACACAUGCAAGUCGAGCGGAUGAAGGGAGCUUGCUCCUGGAUUCAGCGGCGGACGGGUGAGUAAUGCCUAUGAAUCUGCCUGGUAGUGGGGGAUAACGUCCGUAAACGGGCGCUAAUACCGCAUACGUCCUGAUGGAGAAAGUGGGGGAUCUUCGGACCUCACGCUAUCAGAUGAGCCUAGGUCGGAUUAGCUAGUUGGUGGGGUAAAGGCCUACCAAGGCGACGAUCCGUAACUGGUCUGAGAGGAUGAUCAGUCACACUGGAACUGAGACACGGUCCAGACUCCUACGGGAGGCAGCAGUGGGGAAUAUUGGACAAUGGGCGAAAGCCUGAUACAGCCAUGCCGCGUGUGUGAAGAAGGUCUUCGGAUUGUAAAGCACUUUAAGUUGGGAGGAAGGGCAGUAAGUUAAUACCUUGCUGUUUUGACGUUACCAACAGAAUAAGCACCGGCUAACUUCGUG
rnacentral:rRNA from 1 species